rnacentral:rRNA from 1 species
GUACGCUGGCGGCACGCCUAACACAUGCAAGUCNAACGAAGUAGCAAUACUUAGUGGCAGACGGGUGAGUAACAUGUAGGUAUCUGCCCUUUGGCCUGGAAUAACACGAGGAAACUUGUGCUAAUACCGGAUAAGUCUUUACGGAGAAAGCUUUAUGCACCAUUGGAUGAGCCUGCACUUGAUUAGUUUGUUGGUAGGGUAAUGGCCUACCAAGACUGUGAUCAAUAGCUGAUUUGAGAGGAUGAUCAGCCACAUUGGGACUGAGACACGGCCCAAACUCCUACGGGAGGCAGCAGUGGGGAAUCUUGCACAAUGGAGGAAACUCUGAUGCAGCGAUGCCGCGUGAGUGAAGAAGGCCCUUGGGUUGUAAAGCUCUUUCGUCGGGGAAGAAAAUGACUGUACCCGAAUAAGAAGGUCCGGCUAACUUCGUGCCAGCAGCCGCGGUAAUACGAAGGGACCUAGCGUAGUUCGGAAUUACUGGGCUUAAAGAGUUCGUAGGUGGUUGAAAAAGUCGGUGGUGAAAUCCCAGAGCUUAACUCUGGAACUGCCAUCAAAACUUUUCAGCUAGAGUAUGAUAGAGGAAAGCAGAAUUUCUAGUGUAGAGGUGAAAUUCGUAGAUAUUAGAAAGAAUACCAAUUGCGAAGGCAGCUUUCUGGAUCAUUACUGACACUGAGGAACGAAAGCAUGGGUAGCGAAGAGGAUUAGAUACCCUCGUAGUCCAUGCCGUAAACGAUGUGUGUUAGACGUUGGAAAUUUAUUUUCAGUGUCGCAGCGAAAGCGAUAAACACACCGCCUGGGGAGUACGACCGCAAGGUUGAAACUCAAAGGAAUUGACGGGGACCGCCACAA